rnacentral:misc_RNA from 1 species
GAAAUGCGAUAAGUAAUGUGAAUUGCAGAAUUCAGUGAAUCAUCGAAUCUUUGAACGCACAUUGCGCCCGCCAGUAUUCUGGCGGGCAUGCCUGUUCGAGCGUCAUUUCAACCAUCAAGCCCCCCGGCUUGUGUUGGGGACCUGCGGCUGCCGCAGGCCCAGAAAAGCAGUGGCGGGCUCGCUGUCACACCGAGCGUAGUAGCAUACAUCUCGCUCUGGGCGUGCUGCGGGUUCCGGCCGUUAAACCACCUUCGUAACCCAAGGUUGACCUCGGAUCAGGUAGGAAGACCCGCUGAACUUAAGC